AUACGUAGGUGGCAAGCGUUAUCCGGAUUUACUGGGUGUAAAGGGCGUGUAGGCGGGCCUGCAAGUCAGGUGUGAAAUUCCAGGGCUCAACCCUGGAACUGCACUUGAAACUGUGGGUCUUGAGUGAUGGAGAGGCAGGCGGAAUUCCGUGUGUAGCGGGGAAAUGCGUAGAUAUACGGAGGAACACCAGUGGCGAAGGCGGCCUGCUGGACAUUAACUGACGCUGAGGCGCGAAAGCGGGGGGAGCAAACAGGAUUAGAUACCCUGGUAGUCCACGCUGUAAACGAUGGAUACUAGGUGUGGGGGGUCUGGCCCCCUCCGUGCCGCAGUUAACACAAUAAGUAUCCCACCUGGGGAGUACGAUCGCAAGGUUGAAACUCAAAUGAAUUGACGGGG
rnacentral:rRNA from 1 species